GGUAGGACGCUAACUUGUAAAGGUUACUGUGAUGGUAAAUUUUAGGUGUCAACUUGGCUAGGACACAGUGCCUCUUUGUUUGGUCAAACACUAAUGUAGGUGUUGCUGUGAAGGUAUUCUGUAGAUGUCAGUAAAGGAGAUUACCCCGGAUAAUGUGGUGGGCCUCAUCCAAUCAGUUGAAGGUCACAGGAGCAAAAACUGAAGUUUCCCAGAGAAGAAAUUCUGCCUCAGGAUGGCAGCACCAUCUCCCGCCUGGGUUUCUAGCCUGCUGGCCUGUAGAUUCCAGACUUGCCAGCCCCCACAGCUCAGUGAGAGGGGAUCUAAUACCUGGGGAUAAAUCUCCUCUGUGAGAGUGAAUCGAGGCAGAAUCAAGAGAAGCAAGUGAGACCCGCUGUGAGUGGGUACCUCACAUCCCACACAUCUACCUCCACCUAUGAGGAGCCACAGGACCUGCCUGCCUGCCUGGCCGCUCUCCGCAAGCGCACAGAGCCUUUCUGUGCUUAGGCCACACGUGCCCAGCAUAUGGUGCAAAUAACCAUUUAUCGAGUGCACUGAACUGAGGCCUCAAGGCAAGCUUACCGCUGUGCAGGGUUAAUGACAAACCCAAGGUGGGCAGCCUGGAGCUAGCCACAGUCCAAGCCAAAAGCUCCAGUGACAUCUGCUCUGUGUCCAAAAGGUAGAAGGAAAGGAAAGAACACAGUGUACCAACUUAUCUCAAAUAAAAUAAUUACUUAUUACCAACAUCAAGUAUGAAAUGUGAAGCUAUUCUGUGCCAGUUACAGAAAAGCUAUAUUACUAUGUACAUUACAGAAUAAAUUACUAAGUUUUGACUAGAGUAUAAAAUUUAUUUGUCUUAAUUUCUAGUAAGUUUUAUUUGUUGAAAUAUAGACUCAUAACAUUCAAGACAGUGCUGGGUGUCGACUUCUGAACACAGCACACACUGGAUAGUGUAUGACACGCUGUGCAACACAACAGGGCAAAAAAUUGGAAACCUGCUUUUCUGCAGUAACUUUUCAUUUGCCCUAGACAAGGAACAUUGCACGGCUUAUUUUGACAAUGAUGCUCUUGUAUUCAUUGAAUAAGUCAUCUAAUCUGUAAGAAUCUACGUUUUAUUCCCAUGUGACUUAAUAAAGCAUUUUCAUUAUGAAUAAAAAUGUGAACUGCA